AAGUCGUAACAAGGUCUCCGUUGGUGAACCAGCGGAGGGAUCAUUACAGAGUUGCAAAACUCCCAACCCUUUGUGAACGAACCUACCAGUUGCUUCGGCGGCAGACCCCUCUGGGGCCUAGCCUUUACGGGUACCCCGCCGGAGUCCUACAAACUCUUGAUUUUUUGGCAUCUCUGAGUAGCUUAUAAAUAAGUUAAAACUUUCAACAACGGAUCUCUUGGUUCUGGCAUCGAUGAAGAACGCAGCGAAAUGCGAUAAGUAAUGUGAAUUGCAGAAUUCAGUGAAUCAUCGAAUCUUUGAACGCACAUUGCGCCCGCUAGUAUUCUGGCGGGCAUGCCUGUUCGAGCGUCAUUUCAACCAUCAAGCCCUAGGCUUGUGUUGGGGCCCUGCGGCCGUCCGCAGCCCCCUAAAAACAGUGGCGGGCUCGCUAUAUACCGAGUGCAGUAGUUUACUCUUCGCUCAGGACAUGUAGUGGGUUCUUGCCGUAAAACCCCCCAUUUAUCAAGGUUGACCUCGGAUCAGGUAGGAAUACCCGCUGAACUUAA
rnacentral:rRNA from 1 species